rnacentral:rRNA from 1 species
CAAUAGCGUAUAUUAAAGUUGUUGCAGUUAAAAAGCUCGUAGUUGGACCUUGGACCUGGACAGGCGGUCCGCCUCACGGCGUGUACUGUCUUGCUGGGUCUUUCCUCUUGGUGAUCUGUUAUUUCGGCAGCAGGGAACCAGGACUUUUACUUUGAAAAAAUUAGAGUGUUCAAAGCAGGCUCGACGCCGGAAUAUAUUAGCAUGGAAUAAUAAAAUAGGACGUGCGGUUCUAUUUUGUUGGUUUUUGGAAUCGCCGUAAUGAUUAAUAGGGACAGUCGGGGGCAUUAGUACUCACAUGCUAGAGGUGAAAUUCUUGGAUUUUGUGAAGACUAACUUCUGCGAAAGCAUUUGCCAAGGAUGUUUUCAUUAA